rnacentral:rRNA from 1 species
AUGAACGCUGGCGGCGUGCCUAAUACAUGCAAGUCGAGCGAACGGACGAGAAGCUUGCUUCUCUGAUGUUAGCGGCGGACGGGUGAGUAACACGUGGAUAACCUACCUAUAAGACUGGGAUAACUUCGGGAAACCGGAGCUAAUACCGGAUAAUAUUUUGAACCGCAUGGUUCAAAAGUGAAAGACGGUCUUGCUGUCACUUAUAGAUGGAUCCGCGCUGCAUUAGCUAGUUGGUAAGGUAACGGCUUACCAAGGCAACGAUGCAUAGCCGACCUGAGAGGGUGAUCGGCCACACCGGAACUGAGACACGGUCCAGACUCCUACGGGAGGCAGCAGUAGGGAAUCUUCCGCAAUGGGCGAAAGCCUGACGGAGCAACGCCGCGUGAGUGAUGAAGGUCUUCGGAUCGUAAAACUCUGUUAUUAGGGAAGAACAUAUGUGUAAGUAACUGUGCACAUCUUGACGGUACCUAAUCAGAAAGCCACGGCUAACUACGUG